rnacentral:rRNA from 1 species
GACGAACGCUUGCGGCGUGCUUAACACAUGCAAGUCGAACGGAAAGGCCCUGCUUUUGUGGGGUGCUCGAGUGGCGAACGGGUGAGUAACACGUGAGUAACCUGCCCUUGACUUUGGGAUAACUUCAGGAAACUGGGGCUAAUACCGGAUAGGAGCUCCUGCUGCAUGGUGGGGGUUGGAAAGUUUCGGCGGUUGGGGAUGGACUCGCGGCUUAUCAGCUUGUUGGUGGGGUAGUGGCUUACCAAGGCUUUGACGGGUAGCCGGCCUGAGAGGGUGACCGGCCACAUUGGGACUGAGAUACGGCCCAGACUCCUACGGGAGGCAGCAGUGGGGAAUAUUGCACAAUGGGCGGAAGCCUGAUGCAGCAACGCCGCGUGCGGGAUGACGGCCUUCGGGUUGUAAACCGCUUUCGCCUGUGACGAAGCGUGAGUGACGGUAAUGGGUAAAGAAGCACCGGCUAACUACGUGCCAGCAGCCGCGGUGAUACGUAGGGUGCGAGCGUUGUCCGGAUUUAUUGGGCGUAAAGGGCUCGUAGGUGGUUGAUCGCGUCGGAAGUGUAAUCUUGGGGCUUAACCCUGAGCGUGCUUUCGAUACGGGUUGACUUGAGGAAGGUAGGGGAGAAUGGAAUUCCUGGUGGAGCGGUGGAAUGCGCAGAUAUCAGGAGGAACACCAGUGGCGAAGGCGGUUCUCUGGGCCUUUCCUGACGCUGAGGAGCGAAAGCGUGGGGAGCGAACAGGCUUAGAUACCCUGGUAGUCCACGCUGUAAACGGUGGGUACUAGGUGUGGGGUCCAUUCCACGGGUUCCGUGCCGUAGCUAACGCUUUAAGUACCCCGCCUGGGGAGUACGGCCGCAAGGCUAAAACUCAAAGGAAUUGACGGGGCCCCGCACAAGCGGCGGAGCAUGCGGAUUAAUUCGAUGCAACGCGUAGAACCUUACCUGGGUUUGACAUGGAUCGGGAGUGCUCAGAGAUGGGUGUGCCUCUUUUGGGGUCGGUUCACAGGUGGUGCAUGCCUGUCGUCAGCUCGUGUCGUGAGAUGUUGGGUUAAGUCCCGCAACGAGCGCAACCCUUGUUCACUGUUGCCAGCACGUUAUGGUGGGGACUCAGUGGAGACCGCCGGGGUCAACUCGGAGGAAGGUGGGGAUGACGUCAAGUCAUCAUGCCCCUUAUGUCCAGGGCUUCACGCAUGCUACAAUGGCUGGUACAGAGAGUGGCGAGCCUGUGAGGGUGAGCGAAUCCCGGAAAGCCGGUCUCAGUUCGGAUUGGGGUCUGCAACUCGACCUCAUGAAGUCGGAGUCGCUAGUAAUCGCAGAUCAGCAACGCUGCGGUGAAUACGUUCCCGGGGCU